CCCUUAGAUGUUCUGGGCUGCACGCGCGCUACACUGAUGCAUGCAACGAGUUUUCGACCUUGCCUGAAAAGGUUGGGUAAUCUGUUUAACAUGUGUCGUGAUGGGGAUAGACCAUUGCAAUUAUUGAUCUUCAACGAGGAAUUCCUAGUAAGCGCGAGUCAUCAGCUCGUGCUGAUUAUGUCCCUGCCCUUUGUACACACCGCCCGUCGCUCCUACCGAUUGAGUGAUUCGGUGAAUGAUUCGGACCAGCGUGCUGCUCAGAUCCUGCGCAGUGUGCUGGGAAGUCUAGUGAACCUUAUCACUUAGAGGAAGGAGAAGUCGUAACA
rnacentral:rRNA from 1 species